rnacentral:rRNA from 1 species
UACGAAGGGGGCUAGCGUUACUCGGAAUCACUGGGCGUAAAGGGUGCGUAGGCGGGUCUUUAAGUCAGGGGUGAAAUCCUGGAGCUCAACUCCAGAACUGCCUUUGAUACUGAAGAUCUUGAGUUCGGGAGAGGUGAGUGGAACUGCGAGUGUAGAGGUGAAAUUCGUAGAUAUUCGCAAGAACACCAGUGGCGAAGGCGGCUCACUGGCCCGGUACUGACGCUGAGGUGCGAAAGCGUGGGGAGCAAACAGG